GAACCUUACCAGCCCUUGACAUGGGACUCGCCGGGAGCAGAGACGCUCCCUUCGGUUCGGCCGGAGUCCGCACAGGUGCUGCAUGGCUGUCGUCAGCUCGUGUCGUGAGAUGUUGGGUUAAGUCCCGCAACGAGCGCAACCCUCGUCUCCAGUUGCCAUCAGGUUAAGCUGGGCACUUUGGAGAAACUGCCGGUGACAAGCCGGAGGAAGGUGGGGAUGACGUCAAGUCCUCAUGGCCCUUACGGGCUGGGCUACACACGUGCUACAAUGGCGGUGACAAUGGGAUGCGAAGGUGCGAGCCGGAGCCGAUCCUAAAAAGCCGUCUCAGUUCGGAUUGCACUCUGCAACUCGAGUGCAUGAAGUUGGAAUCGCUAGUAAUCGAGGAUCAGCAUGCCUCGGUGAAUACGUUCCCGGGCCUUGUCACACCGA
rnacentral:rRNA from 1 species